AACGACUCUCGGCAACGGAUAUCUCGGCUCUCGCAUCGAUGAAGAACGUAGCGAAAUGCGAUACCUGGUGUGAAUUGCAGAAUCCCGCGAACCAUCGAGUCUUUGAACGCAAGUUGCGCCCGAGGCCAUCCGGUCGAGGGCACGCCUGCCUGGGUGUCACGCCAU
rnacentral:rRNA from 1 species